GGACUACUGGGGUAUCUAAUCCCGUUCGCUCCCCUAGCUUUCGCCCCUCAGCGUCAGAAGCCAUCCAGGACAUUGCCUUCGCCUUUGGUGUUCUUCCGGAUAUCUACGCAUUUCACCACUCCACCCGGGGUUCCAUGUCCCUCUCUGGCCCUCAAGUCCUGCCGUCUCGUCACCGCUCUCCCAGUUAAGCCGGGAGCUGUCACUGACGGCUGACAGGACCGCCUGCGGGCGCUUUACGCCCAGUAACUCCGGACAACGCUCGCCCCCUACGUAUUACCGCGGCGGCUGGCAC
rnacentral:rRNA from 1 species